GACGGAGGUCUCAAGCGUUGUUCGGAUUCAUUGGGCGUAAAGGGUGCGUAGGCGGCGCGGUAAGUCGGGUGUGAAAUCUCGGAGCUUAACUCCGAAACUGCAUUCGAUACUGCCGUGCUUGAGGACUGGAGAGGAGACUGGAAUUUACGGUGUAGCGGUGAAAUGCGUAGAUAUCGUAAGGAAGACCAGUGGCGAAGGCGGGUUGCUGGGCCGACACUGACGCUGAGGCGCGAAAGCUAGGGGAGCGAACGGG
rnacentral:rRNA from 1 species